GGGCUAUUCAGGAGAGAGGAUACCCUUCCCACUGACAUCUGUGAAUGACUCCAUGUGUGGACAGGGAAGCUCACUGCUGUGCAGAGGACCCACACCCCACAACAAAGCAGGUCAGAGAAAUUAACGCUGAGAACACUCUCUCUUAGUUGGUUGUUGGAGCAAGAAAAAAACACUUUUUCCUUGAAAUGGAUGAGCAAGGACUGUGGAGGUGCUAACUUUUUGCCAUUUCUGUCUUGGGAAACACGGAAUGAUUCCCAGACUGAUCCACAGUGUUCACAGAUGACAGGGGCUCAGGAGAGGUCGGAGGGAAUGACUCUUGGUCCAAUCUCACUCUCCACAGGGGCUAAGGAAAAAAGAGAGAGAGUGGAUGAACUCCAGGAAUAUGCGAUCGCAGGAAUUUUUGUCUUCUUCUGAAAAGGGGGCAUGUUUAUUUUGUAGCUCUGGUAAGAAAAAUAACCUGCCACUGAGAAAAAAAGCACAUCCAUUUAAGGCAAGAAUGAGCUUCAACUCGGUGACCUAGAAAUCAAGGCAGAAAGUAAAAGCUAAUAAAUAAAUAAAUAAGUAAAUAAAAUAAUCAGGGAUGUUGCACAAAAUCAAGGGGUGCCCUCUGAAGAGGUGUAAUCAAGGCUCUGAGCCAUCAGUUAUAAUGGUUUUGAUUAAAGAAAGCUGUGCAGAAGUAAUCUACUUUAUUUUUAAAUGGCCUGAUUUUCCCUCACUACUCUCUUGGAGACGGAACCUAGAACAACUUGAAGGAGGACAUAAAAUGUUCAUUGAAAAUAGGCAGGUGAUAAGGUAUGCGUUUAAUAAAAAAACUCACAUCUUUUAAAGUUACUUUUGGGUUUCGAUGGCAUGCAUUAAAAUUGGCUGAAAAAAGCAAUGCCUUAGUAAAUAAAAACAUGAAAGACUUCCAAAUCCUGGCUGAUCAAGCCACGCGGUUCCUUUCUGCAAACUUGAUGCCCAUUCACAAUGUUGAGCUUCAUCACUUAUUUCCAAUGUAGCGGAAAUCCUAAAGUCUGAAAUUCUUCGGUUCCUGUAUAGGGUCAGACUUGUUGUCUUUGCUUGAUAAAUACUGACAAAUAGUAGAAAAGAAGCUCAGAAGAAUCACAGCUAGGGUGGGAGGGGAGGGAGGUUUACAUUUUCUUCCUCAAGAAGGUCAGAUGUUUAUUCAAGCCUAUCCAAGCCUUCUGAACAGAUUUUUGUGCUGGAAAUCUCAUGAGAGCAGCAUUUCCUGGAGAGUGGAAGGAAUAUCUGUCUUCGGAACAGCCAUCUGCAAAGUGUCAUGCUGGUUUUGAGUCUGACAGUGCAAAAGGCUUACUGAAAUACCAGAUGCAGAAAUGUAGCCUAUUUCUUAAAAGGUUGUUGGAGUAAAGU